UAAUCUCGCGAAUAAGCUCGAUAUCUCCUCCUCGUCGUAAGUUGGUAACGAGGACUCGAUUGUUCCAGUUGAGGUCGCCUAAUAGACGACUGGUUUCUUCCUCCAGAUGUUGGAGAGAAUUCCUGUAUCGUACACAUCUCGGACACUCGUCUGGAUCCAUAAUUUUAAAUGGAGUCUCCUCCCACAUAGGUUAAUUAUAAAAUAAAUUAAAAAUAAUAUAAUUCUUCCAUAAAAACCCGCUCUGAUACCAUUUUGAACAAGGAUCUUUUAAACUGUUUUUUGCUUAAAAGUACGUGGCAUUGUCUCACGGUCCAGACCCAGAUUACAAAGUAAUCUAUCGGGCACGAGGAAAGUUUUCAGCCGAUAUACCAUUUAAGCCCAAUCUUAUGCAUGUUUUAGGUAUAAAUUGUCUUUUAGUCAAAAACAAAAAGUUUUAGGGGUCAAAGUACAAAGAAUUUUAUAAUGGGGUUAUUUUCGAAUAUUCCAAACUUUGGCCAUGGGAGAUUCUAGAAAAAAUUGAAAGGUGAUGUAUUAUGGGGCAAAAUCUAAAGGUGGUGUUAUAAACUAGAAUUUGGUCAUAGUUCAUGUAUUUAGGGGCAAUAACCCCUUAAUAUAAUAUACAUAUAAUAAAUCUUAAAAAUAUAUUAUGGUUAUGUUUUGUAUUUCAAUAAUUAUUUAAGUGGUAGUAUCUAUUAAAACUCUUCAUCUACAUAAUUUAGUAUCUUUUUUAUUUUGUAAAUUUAAUAAGAGUAGACUUAAAAAAAAUGCCCAAAUUAGAAUUGUACAAAUAAAAAUUUUCUUUUAAGACAAAAAUAACUUAAAAAUUUAUCAUUUUACCCUUCAUAUAAAAAAUUUUAAAAUUAUCCAUUAAUUUUUUAAUUGUGAUUUCAAGUGUUUGAACUCGAAUUCACAACCAAGACUAUUUCUGGCAAAUGAAAAAUAAAUGUCACUUAAUAUAUACCUUCAUAGAUAUGUCUUAUUCCCUAUAACAACAUAUAUAUGCACAAAUUUUGUAUGUCCGACGAUUUUCUUAUUUUUUUGAUUACCUCAAGCUGAUUGGACCUUGCAGCCAAUGUUAGUAAAAAAUGGAAGUAGGUAGCCACCUACCACUUCCACCAUUUGCCACCUACCACCUCCACCAUUUGCCUAUAAAUAAACAUCUUCUGCAGCAUCCCAAAUAUAACAACACAACACCAAAAUCACAACCAUAGCUAUCUAGAGAGAGAUAGAAAUAGAGAGAGAAAAAAAAUCUUGUGAGAUAAAACUUCAGUGUGGAAGUUAUACACGAGUGAUAAAAGAGAGUUGAGAGAUAGCCUCUGCGUAGGCAGAUACAAAAUACAGUGUGGUAUUUUUGUUGUACUCCUCCUUUUGAGAUUCUCUAAUAUAUUGGUGUGGGUCCGUGGACGUAGGCAGUUUGGCCGAACCACGUUAAAAAUAUCGGUGUCAUUUUUUUU
rnacentral:lncRNA from 1 species